rnacentral:rRNA from 1 species
UUAGUGGAAGCGUCUGGAAAGGCGCGCGAUACAGGGUGACAGCCCCGUACACAAAAGCGCAUGUGCUGUGAGCUCGAUGAGUAGGGCGGGACACGUGGUAUCCUGUCUGAAUAUGGGGGGACCAUCCUCCAAGGCUAAAUACUCCUGACUGACCGAUAGUGAACCAGUACCGUGAGGGAAAGGCGAAAAGAACCCCGGCGAGGGGAGUGAAAAAGAACCUGAAACCGUGUACGUACAAGCAGUGGGAGCCCCACCACCAAAGCAUUCUCUGGUGUUGAAGGCCCUGCAAAGCAGCAUCGCGGUGGCGGAGCGUCGUUUGCGACGCCCAACACACAAAACAAGCGGUGAGUGCUUUGGGGUGGGGUGACUGCGUACCUUUUGUAUAAUGGGUCAGCGACUUAUAUUCUGUAGCAAGGUUAACCGAAUAGGGGAGCCGGAGGGAAACCGAGUCUUAAUUGGGCGUUAAGUUGCAGGGUAUAGACCCGAAACCCGGUGAUCUAGCCAUGGGCAGGUUGAAGGUUGGGUAACACUAACUGGAGGACCGAACCGACUAAUGUUGAAAAAUUAGCGGAUGACCUGUGGCUGGGGGUGAAAGGCCAAUCAAACCGGGAGAUAGCUGGUUCUCCCCGAAAGCUAUUUAGGUAGCGCCUCGUGAAUUCAUCUCCGGGGGUAGAGCACUGUUUCGGCUAGG